rnacentral:rRNA from 1 species
AUUCCUACGGGAGGCAGCAGUGGGGAAUUUUCCGCAAUGGGCGAAAGCCUGACGGAGCAACGCCGCGUGAGGGAUGAAGGCCUCUGGGCUGUAAACCUCUUUUAUCAAGGAAGAAGAUCUGACGGUACUUGAUGAAUAAGCCACGGCUAAUUCCGUGCCAGCAGCCGCGGUAAUACGGGAGUGGCAAGCGUUAUCCGGAAUUAUUGGGCGUAAAGCGUCCGCAGGCGGCCCUUCAAGUCUGCUGUUAAAAAGUGGAGCUUAACUCCAUCAUGGCAGUGGAAACUGUUGGGCUUGAGUGUGGUAGGGGCAGAGGGAAUUCCCGGUGUAGCGGUGAAAUGCGUAGAUAUCGGGAAGAACACCAGUGGCGAAAGCGCUCUGCUGGGCCAUCACUGACGCUCAUGGACGAAAGCCAGGGGAGCGAAAGGGAUUAGAUACCCCUGUAGUCCUGGCCGUAAACGAUGAACACUAGGUGUCGGGGGAAUCGACCCCUCCGGUGUCGUAGCCAACGCGUUAAGUGUUCCGCCUGGGGAGUACGCACGCAAGUGUGAAACUCAAAGGAAUUGACGGAAU